AGAAAAAAAUUUGGAUUAAGAUGAGGUUGCUAAUUUUAUCUUGGGUAAUUCGAUUUUAUCCUUUUUCUU
rnacentral:tRNA from 2 species